rnacentral:rRNA from 1 species
GUCUUUUUGCAUAAAUAAAAAGUCUGACCUGCCCACUGAGAUUUAAAUGGCCGCAGUAUCCUAACUGUGCAAAGGUAGCAUAAUCAUUAGUCUUUUAAUUGAAGGCUUGUAUGAACGGUUGGACGAAAUAUAAGCUGUCUUAUGAUGAUUUAUUAAAGAACUUUAUUUUUUAGUGAAAAAGCUAAAAUUUUAUUAAAAGACGAGAAGACCCUAUAAAUCUUUAUUAUCUAUUUCAUAUUUUUUAUAAAGAUUUUUUAGGAAAAUAUAUGAUGGAUAAUUUUAUUGGGGUGAUAUUAAAAUUUAAAAAACUUUUAAUUUAAAAAAUCAUAGAUGAAUGAAUUCUUGAUCCACUAUUUGUGAUUAUAAAAUUAAGUUACUUUAGGGAUAACAGCGUAAUUUUUUUGGAGAGUUCAUAUCGAUAAAAAAGAUUGCGACCUCGAUGUUGGAUUAAGGUAUAUUUUUAGGCGCAGCAGUUUAAAUAAUAAGUCUGUUCGACUUUUAAUUCCUU